ensembl:lncRNA
GUCGUUUUCUAUGGCAUGCCUUGUUUCCCUGGGGAGUGGUUUGGCGUCACACCUCUGUGUCAUCAAGCUUCAGUGGGGGCUGAUACACGGAGCUGGUGAGUUGUGUUUGUGUCUCUCUCCCUUCGAUUUUUUUUUAAAACUUUUGUAUGGUGCAUUACCCUGCUUCGCAACGUGCUUUUGGGCACGUGGGAGAAAUUCCCUGGUGUGUAGACGAUUUUCCGUCAUUUAAUUGUUGGAAGGGCCGACUUUUAGAAUUCGCAAAACAAAAGUACUUUCUUCAAGUAUAAUUACUUACAAUUUCAAACACAAAAAAUCAAAAAGUGAGUUGCCAAAUCAGCUGAUGAUCGAGACGGAGGCUGGCACAAAUUAUGUCAACGAGCAACACUGUUCCUGUAAAGCUGGCUCCACAGGGUUCUGCGCCCACAUCAUUGGGCUUAUCCAUACCCUGGACCCAGGCCUACAACUACAGACAGAAAAAGGAGACCCAUCUUCUGCCAAUACAACAACAACAACAGGCUGAUGGGGGCUUGACAGUGAAAACCUGAGGGCAGAGGACAGACCAAAACUCCUAGGUGGCAACUGUUCCACGCCAUGUCUCUUGGUGGGCGUGGACUGAGGGGGUGGAAAUUCAACCUCAUAGAUGUGGUGUUCCGGCUCCAACUUAUGAACAGUUGGCAAAAAAUCCUCCCAAUCAAACUCUACUGGUGAUGACUUCCCAGCAUUACCUUUCCCACCACUGCCAGGCACUUUCUAUACUGUCCUUUCUAAGGUGCAGAUGGAAACACUAUGAUGGCCUCCAAGUCUGAGGCAGAGGCGCUUGAGAAAGAGACCAGACAGCAAAGUAGCAACAACAUGGCAUCAUGUCCGCUCUACUCGCCUUACUUCAACUUCAUUCAAGAGUAUAUUCUCGAGGAGGAUAACUGGUAUGCCAUGGUGUGACCUUUUUGUUAAAUGUUAUGGUGACUAUCACCUGGAGCGAAUUAAUUUUGAGGCAGAGAUGUGGGGGGAAAUUAAAGCAAAGCUAGACUGGUACUUUUUUGAGCACUUUUUACCAAUAAUGUGCAAUGGAUCCUUAUAGUCACAUGAACUAAUACCCGUUUCAAUGACCAUGGGGCUCUCCUCCGUUGGGGUGUCCUCCACUAAUAUACAUGAUACAAAUUAAAGUAUUU